GGUUUCAUUCUGUCACUCAGCUGGAGUACAUUGAUGCCAUCACCGCUUACUUGCAGCCUCUCAAACUCCUCAGCUUAAUCAGCAAUCCUUCCACUUUGUCUUCCCAAGUAGCAGGGACUACAGGUGCGCACCAGCACACCCGGCUGAUUUUUUUUUUUUUUUUUUAACAGACAGGGUUUCACUAUGUUGCCCAGGCUAGUCUCAAACUCCUGGGCUCAAGCAAUCCUCCUGUCUUGGCCUCCCAAAGUGUCAUGUCACUACAGGGCCAAGAUCAGCCUCUCUUGCCUGGAUCACAGUAGGGGCCUGAGUGAUUCUUCUGAGUCCAGAUCAAAUCUUGUUACUUUUUUUUUUUUUUUUUUUUUUUUUUGAGACAGAGUUUCGCUCUGUCGCCCAGGCUGGAGUGCAGUGGAGUCUCAGGAUUAGGCCAUUUAACUUACUGGGCCCAGGUGGCAUGUUGCCUGCACGGUGGCCUGGUCCUUGAGCAGGAGGAGGCCGGGAAUGAACCAUUUUCUAAUCAGAUAAGUCCCUGCACUUCUCAGGAGUGGAAGAGUCCCAGAGUUAACUCAUCGAUCCCCUCACAGGCGAAGCGGGGAAGAAGCACUUCUCACUAACAGGCUUCUCAAAAACUCUUCUUCCCUGUAGUGAUUGUUUCAAUAUUAAUAAGAAGAAGCUGUUCUUUCUACAAAUAGGUUAACUACUGGAAAUUUAAUAGAGUAUUUAUUUAAUUCAAGGAGCUAAACAUCUUACCCUUCCUUCAUAUGAACAUUGAUAUUUAGAAUAUAUUUAUUGACAAAAUGAUAAAACAAGAAAUAUUUAACAGUUUAUUUUUCUGUAAGCAAUUCUAAAUGUCUUAUAAUAGCAUGAAUAAAUUCAGCAACCAAAGAAUUAUGUUAGGGUCCUUCCUUGUUGGUGAUUUGGGGCCCAGUUCUGCUUUGAUGGAGCUCUCCUGUGAAGUUAGUUUCAGCAGACGAUGCCUCAGUGGCAGUGUGUGUUUGAAAUUCGUUUCACAUGUGGGAAACACAUAGGGCAGUUUUCUUAUAGCAUGUGAGUGUUGGGGAGGCUUUUCUAGUGUGAUGUUCUGUAUGUUUUGUGUUGUUUCAUGAGGGAAAAUGGAUUUGAGAGAGUGAGCGGUGAGCUAAGAGCAUGCAGUAUAUUCAGGGUAAGCCUGAAUUGGGCAUCAGCAGAACCACUUCAAGACUAGCCCUUUGACUUUCCGGAAUCCUGGUUAGUUUUAAGCUAGAACCUUCUUUUCUUUCUCCUCUUCUUUGUGUCUAGCCUCCACCCUCACCCCCAUCUUCAGCUUAAAACCUCUUACAAAUAGCAUCCCAAAGGCAUCAUUCAUGAGGCUGAACAGUUUUGAAAAGAGCAAGGGAAGUUACUCACUUUUUUCCCAGUGAGCUCUAUGGGCAGUGGAACUCUAAGGUAAUUGUCAACCAUUGUGGAAAGCAAUAUUUUCAUUUGGUUAACAUAUUUGGACCCAUUCGAUCCUCGGUACUAGCAUUAGAAAGAUGAUUUCCAUCUAUUCCUAAUGAAAAUAGGUUUUAUUUCUUUGAAACAUUUAAAGGAACAAAAGCUUAAAUUCCAAAUAUUCCUAAAACCCUAAAAAGGGUUUCAUUUUCGAAUGAGCAUUGGAAGAAAAUGGUCAUUUGUAGCACAGACUCUACCUAAACAUAGUCCACCAUUCCCUCCCUAUUGAAAGUUAGACAGUUCAUAUGAAAGUCAGGAAUCUGAAAUCCUCUUUGGUUGGGGGAGCACAAAAGAUGACUUUUGCAGACCCAGAGCAGAGUUUGAGUCGGGUGGAAUGAGAUUAGUGUGCUGGGGGGAACGUCCGGACCCCUGGCCUUCUCUCCUUUGUGAGGAAUGUGACAGCUGAAAGGAGUCAGAAGCCGCCCGGUGCAGCAGUGACAGCCCAGCAGUGACAGCCCAGCACAAAGGGUGGUGUGCUUUCCGACCUCUGGCCGCCCUUUGCUAGACCUUCAAUUGUAGUUUGGGGCCCAGACUUUGCAUUUUUCUCUUUUAUGGCUUAAUUUAAUUUUAUUUCAACCAGUUUAUUAGAGUGAAGGCCUUCUUUGUUGCCCCGAGGCUUUGUGCCCAUUGGACUGGAAAUUAGAUGAGCUGGGGGUAAGUAUUCUUUGUAUGCAUGAGAGAGUUGGUGACUGGGAAGACACUGAGGGCCAGACCUCACUAGCCAGUGGACCAAUGAUUUCAACCUAGCAACAUCACUUAUUACUAAGGGAAGGGGCAGUUGAAAAGUGGUAAGCAAGGUAAGUCAUCACUAGCAGCUAGCCACGGUUGUGUAGCUGUUCCUGUUCCUCCGAAUGGGCACCUUGGCUGUGUUUCUUUUGUGCCCUCUCAAACUUGGCUCCAUAUUGGAAUCACUGGGAGCAUUGACAACAACAACAAAAACAGAUGCCUGGGCCCCUGCAGAGCUUCUGGUUUAAUUGGAAUGGGUGCAGCCUGGGUGUGGGCGCUGCAGAUCUUCAGGUGAUGGUACAGUGUAGCCGCAGUGGAACACCACUGGCCUGCCUGAGACCUGAGGUGCUUGGGCAUUACCUGCAGGCUUUAUAAAAAAGUUAAAUGGUGUUAGAAUAUUUCAGGGGAGGUUCUGAUUAGAUCUAAGAAUAAGCAUAUGAAAUUUAGAGACUAGGACUUUUUAGGGUUGUUGAACUGGAAAAACUUUGGUGGGAACAAGGGAGCUUAUUGAUUUUUAAAAAAAAAACUUAAAAAGAAUAGCUAGAAAGAGGCUGGGUAAAGGGGCAUUGAAAUUGACUCCCUUAAGCACUGGUCCCAAGAUAUUUGUUUUUCCCAGAAGGAGAGUGAGGAUGGAAACUAAAGAAAUAAAAACUGUCUGGCCAUAGCU
rnacentral:lncRNA from 1 species